UUCCAUGUGAACAGCAGUUGAACAUGGGUCAGUCGGCCCUAAGGAAUAGGGGAAACCCGUUCCGAAGCGUGGGGAAAAAUGACAGAAAUAUAAAUGCAUAAAAAGAAAGCCAAAAGAAAGAGAAAUGUGAAACACGAACACACGCAGAAUCGAAGUGGGAAUGCUUCCUCGUGAAGAGUCACUUUUGCGUGAAGAUAUAAAAAACAGAAAGAGUGGGAAUGCUUCCUCGUGAAGAGUCACUCGAUCGGAAAUUGGCAAAAAUGAAAAAAAGCAUUAUGAAAAAUGAAAAACCCCCGAAAGACCGAAAGGGAAUCGGGUUAAUAUUCCCGAACCCGGACACGGAGAUCGGCCCUUCGGGGCCCAUUGCGGUAACGCAAACGAACUCGGAGAAGUCGGCGGGAGUCCCGGGAAGAGUUGUCUUUUCUUUGUAAGGGACGGACUCCCUGGAAUCGGUUCGCCCGGAGAGAGGGAUGUUGUUCCCGUAAAGCACCGCGGCUCUUGCGGUGUCCGGAGCACUCCUGCCGGCCCUUGAAAAUCCGAGGGAGAGAAAAUGAUUUUCGUGCCGGACCGUACCCAUAUCCGCAGCAGGUCUCCAAGGUGAACAGCCUCUAGUCGAUAGAACA
rnacentral:rRNA from 1 species